rnacentral:rRNA from 1 species
UUGGAGGGCAAGUCUGGUGCCAGCAGCCGCGGUAAUUCCAGCUCCAAUAGCGUAUAUUAAAGUUGUUGCAGUUAAAAAGCUCGUAGUUGAAUUUCGGGAUCAAUAUGUUGGUCGUGCCUUGGUACGUACUAGUUUAUUGGUUUCUUCCUUCUGACGAACCAUGAUGUCAUUAAUUUGGUGUCUUGGGGAAUCAGGACUGUUACUUUGAAAAAAUUAGAGUGUUUAAAGCAGGCUCACGCUUGAAUACAUUAGCAUGGAAUAAUGAAAUAGGACGUUUGAUUCUAUUUUGUUGGUUUCUAGGAUCGACGUAAUGAUUAAUAGGGAUAGUUGGGGGCAUUAGUAUUCAAUUGUCAGAGGUGAAAUUCUUGGAUUUAUUGAAGACUAACUACUGCGAAAGCAUUUGCCAAGGAUGUUUUCAUUAAUCAAGAACGAAAGUUAGGGGAUCGAAGACGAUCAGAUACCGUCGUAGUCUUAACCAUAAACUAUGCCGACUAGGGAUCGGAUGAUGUUAAUUUUUUAAUGACUCAUUCGGCGCCUUACGGGAAACCAAAGUGUUUGGGUUC